AUGGAUCUUGUUUGGUCGAUGGGUGACGCUGGUUCAGAUUGUUUCGGCUUGCCUGCGUCGAACCGUGUGUCUUUCUGUCCUUCACAUUCAGGUUGUACGAUCUCACCCGUUGCUGCGGCUCCAUUCUGCUCAUUGCUUCGUCUCCAUUUUCCUCAUCAAGGAGGAACAGGUAGCGAGAGAAGAGCUCCCCCCCUCGGCGGCGUCCACUCCGGAGCCGUCGCCCACUCCGGAGCCGUCGCCCACCAAAUCACGCCGGCGGCCGCUCCGGCGCCGGCGUCCACCUUCUCCUCUCCGGUGCGCAUGGCCUCUGGGUCGCGCAGCCCCCCGUCGGUGUCCUCGGCAAUGCUUCGGGAGUGUCCGGUUGUGUCGGGCUUGGGUCUCUCAGGAUCUCCGGGCUCGGCGAGCGCGUCUUCCGCGGCUGGUGGCCGGGGGCCGGGGGACAUGCCGGCUCAAUUGGAGGGCUGGCGUCGGCCGGGCCCUUCGCGUAAAGCCAUGUGGCGCAGGCGCCGUGCUCUCCGGCAGCAGCAGGCGGGUGGUGCCCCGCCAAGGUCGUCGUCCCCGUCCUCGUUCGAGUUGUGCCAGAUUCCGCCGGAUCUGCACGGGCUGUGCUUCCGGUGUUUUGAGGAAGGACAUCGGCGACAAGAUUGCAUCAACGAGCCGCUCUGCAUCAGAUGUGGUCGGGCGGGCCAUGUCUCGUCUCAGUGCGCGGUGCCGCGGAGUCCUAUUUCUGCGGCGGAGCUUCGCCGGGCGGUGAUUGACAGGGUUGCCAGACGGGAGGUGGUGCCUUGA
rnacentral:rRNA from 1 species